GACCCUGGGAUCAAACUCAUGUCUUAUGUCUCCUGCAUUGGCAGGUAGAGUCUUUACCUCUAGUGCCACCUGGAAAGCCCGGAAUGUUAUAGAUCUGGGCUCAAAUCCUGAAUCUGCCACUCACCAGCUAUGCGAUCAUGAGUUUCUUAAUUUUUGAACCCCAUUUCCCGUAUCUUUAUUGGAAGAAUAAUACCUUCUUUUUAACGUUCCAGUGAGGCUUAGAAAGAAUAUAUGCAAUUGCCAUGGUAGAUUGUAUGGAAAUGGUGAUUAUAUUACAUUAUCUUGUUGUUGGCUACAAUAAAGAACAGCCUGAGCUAUCUCAUUUCUUGAAAGCAUAUUUCAAAAGUCACCUUCUCUGUAGAGCUCUGCGGGCUCUGGGCAAGCAUAAUUCUCUCUUCCUUGUGUUCCCAUAGAACUUACUUUUGAAUCUCUGUUUCACCGUUGCACGCCACCACUUAUCUCUUUACGUUUUGCUUCUCUACUGUUUCUUUAUUCACUUCUACAUCAAUACUAGCAGAGAACCUGGCAACAAAUUUUGAAAGAACAAGUUUAAAAAUAUUUCCAUCUCCUGUAUUGGUUCUGACUUUCAGUAUAAUUUGUAUUAAACUACAGUCUCUAAGACCUCAACAGUUUAGUUUAUACUAAAAUUAUGUGUUAUGUACAUGUAUCUGCUUAAACCUUGAUUUUUCAGUGCUGGGCUCAUUCUUUAAGAUCAACCUGCUAUGCUUGUGUGUUUUGUAUGGGAUGUCAGUUGAUCCUGCCCAGUAAUAGUGAAAGUAAAAUCUAAAUUCUAAACCCAAACCACCAGCAGAACUUUACCCAGCAUUCUCUGCCCACCCUCUGCACAUCUGCUCUGCAGACAUCUUCUGAGCUUUGUGGGAAGGAUCCUGAACUAACAGGAAACGUGGUUGUUUUUAAGUUUCAGCUGUUAACAUUGUUGCAACCAUUAGCACUUUCUGAGUUAAUAGCUGCAAGACAAAACCCACCUUUAGCUACAGUUUUUAAAUUCUAGACUGCAUGCCAGUAAAAAUGCUCAGACAAGAGAAACCUUCCCUAGAAAAUGUCCUGUGAGCCGGAAGUUGCCCAAGAGGUAAUGUGGUCAAAUGUGGUCUUGAUCCUAAAAUGGCAAUAGAAUUGUGCCAGAGGCAAGGGUAGUGUUGCUGAGGACUUAAAAUAGGAUUCUAGAAAAGUUUGGGUCAAAUUCUUCUAAAAUCAUAAUUUAUAUAUCUCCUUCAAAAACACAUGCAUGUUUGUGCACAUGCAAACACAAUAUGUAAGUGUUUGGUCCCACUAACUUGUGAGAUAGUCUUUGGAAAUAAUGGUGAAUAAGCAUUUACAAAGUACAUGCUAAUAUGCUAAGUAGUAGCUUUAUAUUAAUAUUUAUAUGUAUUGUUAUCAUUUAGUUGCCAUCCCCAGCUAGUAGGCAGUGUUAUUUUCUUUUGUUGAUAGAGAGGCAGAUUGCAAUCAAGUAACUAGUCAAAGGCCACAUGACCAAUGAGUGGAAGUGUUAGGAUCUGGGCCCAGGUGACUCUAAUUUCAGAGUUCUGGGGCUUAACCACUAUUCAAUCACAUGAGAAAGGAAUAUGUACUUUUAAAUUGAAUCCAUCAAGUAUCUUCAGUAAGGUUUAUGAUGUACUUUUUCAAUACUUUUUGAAAUUGCAUUAAUUUGUGCUUUUCCCAGUAGCAUACUCAUAUCCUAAAUGUGCCUUCCUGGGAUGAUUUUACAGCUUGCUCUUUAAUUGAGAAGCGUUUUAUGACUGAAAGCAAACUUAAUGAAAGAGCAUGAAGUGUCUGUGGUUCUGAGCUUAGGCAAUAUGAAAUAUAUCAGGCAGCCUCAUUCUUGGAAUUUUUAUUUUUAUACAGACCAAUGAUAAAUAGCUUUCACAUGAUAGACAUGUAGUAUAAGUUUUAAGUAAAAAUGAGUUUGAUAGUCUCAGGAGUGACUUUUUUUGUAUCCAAAUAUAACUGCUAUAAUUGCACUACUAAAUAAUAUUUGCUUGCUACUACUUAUUAAUCACGUACAGCCACUGAUCUAAGAACUUUACCUAUAUUAACUCGUUAAUUAAAUCUACAAAUGACUGGCUCUAGCCGUGAAAUAAAUUAUUCUAAAGAUAAUGAAACACUGUUAAAAGGGUUAGAACUUUCUUAUUUAUUAAACAAACUACAUUAGGAUUUACUUCCUAAGGAAGGUAACUCAUUUUUUCCCAGGACUAAACAUUUUUAGCCUUUUCUUAGUACCAUAUCAUAUUAUGCAUGUAGAAUGUAUCCUAGAACAUCUCAGAUCACACUUUAACAUUAACUUGCUUCAAAUUUCAGUGACAUCAGCCCUGACAAAGCACUUGAUUUCAGGCCUGAAGAACUGCUUCUUUCCUCUGACUAAAAUGCUGCUCUUCUCUGUCUCUCUGAGGCAUGAAUAGCCAUGGCUCAAGACGUCCUAUCAGGGUAGUGAAAUUGAAGAUGCUCUUGUUACAUAAACAUGACUCUCUCUUUGGAAAAGUAUCAUGGACGGUGGGACGGUGCUUUGUUCACUCAGAAAAUGCUACAGCCAUGCCUGGAUGCUGUCUUCUUAAAGCUGCCUUACACUGACACAAGGACUGGAAGAAGCUGCUGCUUCUCAAAUCUGGAGUGAAUCUAGAGAUUUAAGAGAAGUGAGUUGAUGGUUCACAGACCUCCUUGGGAACUUCUCAGGUGUGAUCUGAAACUGAAGCCCAUAUCCAGAAGUCAGGGAGAGAAGGAACAAAGAAGCAGACCAUUCCAGAUUGAAACAAGUCUUUCAUUUGAAGACAAGAGGAGUCCCCAUUUUUUGUUGAGAAGAAUGAAUGGGAAUGUGGCAUUAAUGAUGAAGACAGGGUUCCCGAAAUUUAUUCAAGAGGUAAAGCAUUACGAUCUCUAAUGGUAGUUGAAUUUUUUAAUGUUUAGAAUACGAAGUUCUGUUAAUCACAGAGGAGCCACUUUGUCAAUAUUACUUGGAUGUCUUUAGAAGGUAGUUUAACUCUUCAAGUAGUUCUAAUUUCUCAGUCCAUUGUGUAGUCUCUUGUAAUGGAAAAAAACUUUAAAUGGUCAGCUGAAAGCUUCCCUCAAAACCUCUCUCACCGUCUCCCUUUGCAUUCCCACUUCUGCUCCCCAGUUUAGCUCUCACCACUUUGUGGCUACACAGAAGCCGCUGCCUCUUCCUCAGCCUUCCCCAUUUUAGCUGCGGCCAGACCACCCUCCACAUAGGUGUCCAAUUUAUUCUCCAAAUACUACUCACAGCACAUAUUGUCUCAAUACAUGAUGACUUCAACUUAUUUCAAAUAUCUCUCCACCGCCCCAAGGAGAAAGCUUAAACUCGAAACCCUGAUGGUUUGUAAAUAUUAAGAGAUGGUGAUAUAAUGAAGAAUAUAUCUGAUGUUUGUCCAUUCCUAGGACAGAGGUCCUAAAACCUUUGGGAUCUCCUGAAUGAUGAGGUGUCUUUGUUAAGUUAAUAAAGUGCCUCACCUGGGUCUCUUGAUAGUUUCAGGAUGAGGGAUGGACAUCAGAAGGACCAACCAUGUGAUUAGAGUCUUGGAACCUUAGGCCAGCCUGACCUCUGGGAUUGGGGUACUUGGAGAUUGAGUUCAAUCAUGAGGCCAAUGAGUUAAUCAAUUGUGCCUAUGUAAUGAAACCCAAGUAAAAAUCCUGGACACUGGGGCUCAGUGCAGCUCCUGGUUAAUGAACUCAUAGAUGUGCCUGGAGAGUAACAUGCCCUGACUCCAUGGGGGGAGGGCACUGAAGCGCUCUGUUCUCUCCUGGACCUCGUCUCAUUUGGCUGCUCUUGGUUGUAUCCAAUAAAGUUAUAAUCAGUUUAGAGCUUGGGCUCUGUGAGUCAUUCUAGUGAAUUUUUCAAGUCGUCAUAUUGUUUAUUGUGCUCAUGCUCAGUCACGUCCGACUCUUUGCGACCCCAUGGACUGGAGCCCACCAGGCUCCUCUGUCCAUGGGAUUUUUUAGGCAAGAAUACUAUAGUGGGUUGCCAUUUCCUCCCCCAGGGAUCAAAGCCGCAUCCCUUGUGUCUCCUGCAUUGCAAUUGGAUUCUUGACCCACUGAGCCAUUGGGAAAGUCAUGGAACCCCCAAAUUUGUAGCUAGUUGGGCAGAAGAGUAGGUGGUCCAGGGACCUCCCAAGAUUCAUGUCUAGCAUCUGAAGUGAAGAUAGUCAUGUGGAGGACUUCACCUUUAACCUGUGGAGCCUGUGUCAACUCUGGGUAGUCAGUGUUAGAACUGGGCUGGGAUAGAAACAGAGCUGACAGUCUUGAGAAGCUAUUACUGGAAAUCUGCAGAAAUAGAUCAAGUCACCAGAGCAUGAUUUUGUAUAGCAGAACUGUGAUGGAAAGAUUGAUUUACUGAAAGCCUCCCCAGGACCACAAAAUGAUAACACUGCGUUUGUCCUCUAAUCUUGAUUACAUGGAACCUGUGAGGAUGGCCUCAUGGUAAGGAAUCACGCCUGUGAAUCAUUUAAAGACAAAAGGAGUUAAAAUAUUUUGACCAGCCUAGGGGACAGCACUUGGAAUGCAUUGUGAUCGAUGGUCUUGAUUCCACAAGGACCUACCAGUGGUUUAUUUUGGCAGAAGACAACACACUGUCCUUUUCCACUUAGUGUCUCUGAGAAACAUUCCACCUAGCCAAGACAACCAAGCCUGGCUGAUGUGUUACCAGUGGGAUAAUAUGUCCAAGGAUUUGGAAUCCUCUGUACUAGCUGCAUCGCCAGUAGUAAUUCUGAGAAGAAUUGAACUGCUAGUGUGGUAAUAAUGGUUAUGGGAGGAGUGGGGACAUUGCCUAUUUACCGCUCACCAAGCUAUCUGUUUCCAAUUUUGGCAGUAAAACACAGCAGCAGAGGGAAAGAAGAGAGAAGCCAUGGGCACUGAGAACCUAUUGCCUACCAGGCUCAGUAGGAGUGUUUUUACUUAAGUUAGUUUCUUUCAUUCUGGUAACCUCACUGAGGAAGAGGUAUUGUCAUCACCACUUUAGAAACACUCAAACUGUGACUCUGAGUUCCCUGAGGUCUCCCAGAUAGUAAGUUAGUAAGCUGUCUGGAUCCAAAUUUAAACUCUACUCUCAACUUUACUGCCGAGUUUCCAUCUUUGGGCCUCACCCUGGCAUGCCUGAAUUACAUUACAGGUUAGGAAAUCAGAAAAAAGUUAUUUUUCUUUUCACCCUCAGCUUGCCUGGUGGUUGAGGGAGAGUGGUGGUGUGGUUUGAUCAACCCUGAACUCAAGCUACGGCUUUCCAGGUUGGCUCAGUGGUAAAGAACCUACCUGCCAAUACUUCCUGAUCUGUGGGUCAAGAAGAUCCUUUGGAGAAAGACAUGGCAACUCACUGCAGUUUUCUUGCAUGGAAAAUCCCAUGGAUAGAGGAGCCUUGCAGGCUAAAGUCCAUGGGGUCACAAAGAGUUGGAUACGAUUUAUCAACUAAACAGCAACUUAGGCUAAGGUAAGCACCUGAGCCAGUUUUCCCAAAGAAGAUAAAAGAUUGCCACUGGCAAGACAACACUGAAAUCUUUUUGCAGCCUUUUCUCUGAACAUUCUCUCUUUUAGGCAAAUUGGUGCUAAUUCUGGGGCAGGCAGGAGCAAGCAAUCAUCACAGCCUUCUAGAGACACCCUUGGUAUAGCUGCCCAGGGCCCUCUUGCUGUUUUGAGUGGGCCCUCCCACUUCCCCAAACUACCACUGCCUACUUGUGAGUAGCCAGCAGUGAGUCUGCAAACAAGAGUCCUGGAGGGGGCAUCCGUCGGUCUACCAGAAGACCUGCUAGUGGGCUCCACACUUGCUGAAAUUAUGUUGGAAGGAUGAGGCCGGAGGCAUGACACUGUUCAGGGUCUAUUUGUCAUGAGUAAGAGGCCUUUCCUGUGUGGUUGGCCUGGGAUCCAGCACUGAAGGGCCUGGAGUAGAGUGUCCGGUCCCCUGGAGGCAGGAGGCUCAUAGGAGCUGGAUAAGACAUGCUGGUCUUCGUGGUGUCACUUGUCUGCCAGCAGGGUGGGCCACCUAGGACUACACCCCACCCCCCGCCUGUCCAAAAUGUUGAGCAGACUGGAGGGAAAGUUAGGUAGCAGGCAGAGUGCAGCCACUCCGAGACAGCACCUCGAGCUGAACAGUCUCCCUCCCUCCCAGUUUCCUAAGGUUUUGGAGCAGUUGAUUUCCCAUGGAAACAAGCAGAAAUCUGUUUUAAUCAUCGGGCAUUUUUAGUUUCCUAAUUUGUAUGGGAACCUGGAGAUACUGACAUAUGGUACAUUCAUCGUCCCGGAAAGCUACAGCUGAAAGAAAAAUAGUUAAAGCCAGUCUUAAAACUGGAACGCUUCUUCAUAUGCCUUCAAAUGACUUUCUUUAAUCAGAGUCUGUCAACAGUGCUGCCAAAAGACUUGGUUCUGUUUCAGCUCAGCCCUUCUAGCAGGAUUUGCAUUUGAACCUUGGUGAGUGCCUCCCCCACAGUAUAGCCCAACCAGCCAGCUCUUAUGGUUGGAUGGGGAGUCCCCCCUCUCAGCUGCUAAACCAGAUUUUUAAAAAUAUAAUUUUAUGUAUUUAAUUUUUGGCUGCACAGGGUCUUCGUUGCUGCUGGGCUUUUCUCUAGUUGCGGCCAGCAGGGGCAACUCUCUUGUGCACGGGCUUCUCAUGGUGGUGGCUUGUCUUGUUGGCAAAGCACGGGCUCUCAGGCACGUGGACUUCACUAGCUGUGACUCAUGGGCUUUGUUGCUCCACGGCAUGUGGGAUCUUCCUGGAUCAGGGAUUGAACCUGUGUCUCCUACAUUGGCAGGCAGAUUCUUUGCCACUGAGCCACCAGGGAAGCCCGGAACAAGGUUGAGAGAGUGAAAUGAGCUCUGGCUGAGUUCUAAUCCUGAACCUUGCACACACUAGUCCUGUGAUCUUGGCUAAAACUGAACUUCCCUCUGCGUCAUUAUCCUCCUCUGAGGAUUUCAUUCCAUCAUUUAACAAAUAUUUAUGGAACAUUUACUUUGUGGCAGCACUGUUCUAAGAACUGGGAAGAUAGCAGUGAAUAAAAUAAGGUCUUCACCUUUGUGGAGUUUAGAUUCUCUUGGAGGGAGAUAAACACUAAAGCAAAUGAGUAAGGUAAAAUAUGCUGGUGAUAAAGGUUAUGGAGCAAAAUAAAGCAGGGGAAGGGAGUAAUUGGGAUGGGCAAUUACAAAUUUAAAAUAUGUGGGUCAUGGAAGCGUUCACUGAAAAGGAGGCAGCUGAGGAAAGUCUUGAAGGAGGUGUGAGAAUGAGCCACAUGGAUAUCCGGUAUCUGAAGAAGAGCAUUUGGGUGGAGGCCUUGAAAUGGGAGAUUACCUGCUGUUAUUGAGGAAUAGCAAGAAGCCCUGUCCCUGCCCCGCCCCACCAAGCCCCCAGUGCUUUGUUAGAGCAACUCAAAUAGACUGCAGUUCUGGUGGGAGGAUAAGGCAGUUCUGGUGGCAAAAGGAAGGGAUUUUCCUCUCUUGCUUUGUAUUUUUGUGAGCCUGGCAUGUGACUGCAGAAACAUGGUGUCAGUCAGGCUCAGAUAUUGCUUGUUCUUUUGCUUUAUAUAGCAAGCAGUUAUGCAGUUGCUAUUCCCGUACAUGUUGAAAAUAGGAUCUCAAACUGUCUUUAUGACUUAACCACUUAGAACAGCAAACUGCCCUGCAAGUCUCCUGCUUCACCUGUUCUCAGCUCCCACAGGUAGAAACACAGCCCAAUCAGAACCACUAAGGAAGAUCCAAACACAAAGCUUCUGCUUGUGUGGGUGGUCAUCCUAAUGGCUACACCUUGAAAUAUUAUCUUUCUCUGAUUUUAUGUUAAAAAUUUCUAUGAUGGGGGAGUUUCCUAGUCAUUCAGUGGUUAGGACACCGAACUUCCACUGCAGGGGGCAUGGGUUCCAGUCCUGGCUGGGGAACUAAGAUCCUACAAACCAUAUGACAGGGCUAAAAAUAAAAGUCUGUAAUGAAAAAGCGUAAAAUGCUGGGGGAGGGGGAGCAGCACAAAAAAUUUAUGGCAGGAGAUCUUUCUAGGAAGAUCUAGGAAAUGACAUACAUAGGAAAUAAAAACAAGGAAAACUAUCUUGAAAAACAUAGAAAAACUCUUUUAAGUUACAGAAUAAAUGGGCCCUUAGCAUAUUUCAGAUUAUAAAAAUGACUUCCUGUACUUUUGCUGACUUGAACUUAUUUCUGACUCACAAAAUUCCUGCCUGACUCCAAGAUGUUAAUGUUUGUAUUUAAUGAGAAUCAAUACUUAUGAGAAAUUCCAUUCUAAGCACUUAAAUAUAUUAAUUAAUUUAAUCCUUAUAAUAGUCCAAUGCCCCUUGUCAUAACCUACAACAGGUUUGACCUAUAAAAACAAAUAAAAAUACCAAAUAAAAUGCUGGUUACCAGAGGACUAGUGGUGGGGGUAUAAGACUGAUAGUGCUUAAGGGUACAAACUUGUUAUGAGUAAUUAUAAGUAAUUGAGAUCUAAUGUACAGUAUAAUAUAAAUGAUAAUACUAUAAGUAUGUAAUGUGAUAAAUAUCACCUUAAAUUUACACGUUACCUGUCAAAUUUAUCCAAUAAAAAAGAAACAUUAAAAAACCUUUAGUAGGUUUGAAUCUCAGCUCUGUCACUUGCUAAUUAGAAGAUUUUGAGACCCAACUUUCUACUAUGUAAAAUAUGAAUAAUAAUGACUCAAUUCACAAGAAUGUUGUGAAAAUUAACUUGAUGUAGUGUGUGAAAUAUGCACAUAACAGUGCUUGACACAGUGAGCUCUCCAUUAACAUUACUCCUAUUACUGGUGACAAAUGGUUUCUUUGCACACCUUGAGGUGAGAAGUUAUAGAUGUUCUACAGCAAAGAGACCACAGAGUUAAAAUUUUUUCUUCUAGCCUUUAAUAGGCUAUUAUUGACAGUGGUUUUCAGCUUCAAAAACCACAAUUUCCCCUAUCCAUAUAUUAGAAAGUUUUGGAGUUUAUGCUAACCUUCAGGGCAUUGGAGAACUCUUUCUACAAUAUCCAAAUCAAGAAUGUAUUCCCAUAUCACUGACAUUUUUAAAGUAAUUUAAAAAUAGUUAUUAUAUGCAUAUGAUGCAAAAUUAAAAGAAAAUACAAAAAGAUAUGCAGAGAAAAGAGUCUACAGUGUUACCUUUUUUGUGUAUAUAUCCACCAGAGAUAUUGUGAAUAUCCAAGCUUACACACUCUCUCUUUCAAAUAUUCAAUCAGCAUAUAUAUUUAAUAAAGUCUGUUGUUUUUACUGAGAUACAGUAUUGAUUAGUAUUUCCCCAAGAAUACUUUCUUACAGGCUCACAAUAGUUGCUGACUCUGUUGGUGAUCAUCUCACCAAAAGUCCUGGAGAGAUGUCAAUAAUCAGGUAAAAGAAGCAAGCAGGGAUAAUACAAGAACUCCAGGAAGGAGGGUGAAGCUGAUACCCAACCCCCUCCAGGUGGAAGAAGUUACAAUUAACCAUUGUAUGCUGCCCACAAGCAUGUAGACCCCAGACCAAUUGAAACCUGAAGGCUGAUGAUGCAGACUCCUUACCUCACCAUCAACAUAUCAGAAGAGCAUCCAUGAGCUGAUCACAAGCCCUCUAUGAAGCAUUACUAUAAAACUUCUCACUAUCCUUUCCAUGUGGGGGAACACAAGGUUUUCUGAGGCAAGCACCUGCUGUAUUCCCCUUUGCCUGGCAAAGUAAUAAAGCUAUCCUU